rnacentral:rRNA from 1 species
CGCAUCUGUGCAUGCAGCAUAUCAAUAAGCGGAGGAAAAGAAACUAACAAGGAUUCCCUCAGUAACGGCGAGUGAAGCGGGAAGAGCUCAAAUUUGAAAUCUUGAAAGGUCACCUUUCACGAAUUGUAGUUUAAAGAAGUGUUUUCUGUUACGAUCGUAAUAUAAGUUCUUUGGAAUAGGACAUCACAGAGGGUGAGAAUCCCGUCUAUGAUUGCGAUUUGUAGCUUUGUGACUACACUUUCAAAGAGUCGGGUUGUUUGGGAAUGCAGCCCAAAACGGGAGGUAAAUUUCUUCUAAGGCUAAAUAUUGGCGAGAGACCGAUAGCGAACAAGUACCGUGAGGGAAAGAUGAAAAGAACUUUGAAAAGAGAGUUAAAUAGUACGUGAAAUUGUCAAAAGGGAAGCGUUUAACACCAGUGUUGUUUUCUGAAAAUCAACCUCUGUUAGCUUUAUGCAUGUUUGUUUAGACCUAAUCAGCUAUCUUGCAUGUUCUAUUGUUUGCAGUGGUGCACUUUUCAGUUUACAGGUCAACAUCAGUUUUUUUUUACCGUAAAAAAGUUAAAGAAAGGUAGCUCAUGGCUCCGGUCGUGAGUGUUAUAGUCUUUUUCCUAUGCGGUAGGAGAGACUGAGGUCUGCAGUGUAGGCUAUUUGGCUAGAUACUCAGGUGCUAUGUGAUACCAUUUCAUAAACAACUUGUUGAUUAUGUUUUGUCUAUUGCAUACUCGCUUGUACUAUCAUACCUACGCUUAGGAUGUUGACGAUCAGCUGAGCGCG